AUGGCUCAGAACGAACGCUGGCGGCGUGCUUAACACAUGCAAGUCGAACGCGAAAGGGACUUCGGUCCUGAGUAAAGUGGCGCACGGGUGAGUAACGCGUAGAUAACCUGUCUUCAUGUCUGGAAUAAUACGCCAAAGGGGUACUAAUACCGGAUAUUCUUGCUUUUCAUAAGUUAUGCAAGCAAAGGUGGCCUCUGCAUAUGCUACUGCAUGAAGAGGGGUCUGCGUACCAUUAGCUAGUAGGUGGGGUAAUGGCCUACCUAGGCGACGAUGGUUAGCGGGUCUGAGAGGAUGAUCCGCCACACUGGCACUGGAACACGGGCCAGACUCCUACGGGAGGCAGCAGUGAGGAAUAUUGCGCAAUGGGGGAAACCCUGACGCAGCGACGCCGCGUGAGUGAGGAAGGCCUUCGGGUCGUAAAGCUCUGUCAAGAGGAAAGAAGUGUACAAUGGCUAAUACCUGUUGUAUUUGACGGUACCUCUAAAGGAAGCACCGGCUAACUCCGUGCCAGCCGCGGC
rnacentral:rRNA from 1 species